AACGUAAGUCAGUAGUUGUUGAGUAGUCGUCGAAUAGCCGUGACGUGAACAUGUCGUCCCGUGCGCUGUCAUGGCUCCCACACUUCGCUCUCUUGCUGCCUGUCCUGUUGAUGUUAUGUUCCUGCGUGAACGGUCAAACUGACGGCACGUCGAUUGUGGCAGCUCUCAUCAUCAACAAGAUCGAGAGGUGUAUCGACAAACUGAACGCCGUCGUUGACGUCAUCGGAUUAUUGGGAUGAGUCGGGGUCGCGUGCGUCGACCAGGUGAUGCUAUGUGCGGAGUUAGAAGAUGUUCCUAAUUUAUUUAAAAUUAUUUAUAAAUGAUUCAUUCAUUCAUUCAUUCAUUCGUUCAUUGCCUUAUAAUAUUAAUAAGUUUAUAAACAAUAAAAAUUUUGUAUCUAUUAAAAACAAGGAUUUUAAAUUGUUAAUUUAUUAUUAUUA